AUCCAAAUAGNGAGGANGGAGGGGACGACGUCAAGUCAUCAUGGCCNUAACGUCCGGGGNUACACANGUGUACAAUGGGCAGUACAGAGGGCAGANANNUGGCAACAGGAUGCCAAUCUCAAAAAGCUGUUCACAGUUCGGAUCGGGGUNUGCAAUUCGACCCCGUGAAGUUGGAUUCGNUAGUAAUCGCGUAUCAGCAAUGACGCGGUGAAUACGUUUCCCGGGCCUUGUACACACCGCCCGUCAAGCCAUAGAAGCUNGGGG
rnacentral:rRNA from 1 species